AAGUAUUAUCUUAAAAUAAUAUAUACGUUUUCAAAACAUGAUUUUAUUUAUAAGAGUGCGUAACAUUUUGUUCAUUUUGUGCACAACCACAUUUUAUUCACGAAAGUAUAAACUUGCGCUGUGUUUGUGUAAAUUUAAUUCGUCAAAUGUAAAUAUUUUAAAUGUUAAUGGGAAGAACAAAUUCUUAAAAUGUACAAUAUCUCCAUAUAACAUGCCUGUUAGACUGUCAAUAGACAUAGAAUCCCGUUUUAUUUUUUACGCGGUUUUUUUAAAGGCGAGUCCGAACAAUAUAAAUAGUAAAGGCAAAAAUUUAAAGUUAUAUAAUUAAUUGAAAAAAGUAUAUCGGUUUCGAAUGUCAUACAAUAAUUAUUUUCUUCUUUGGUGUCAAAGUAAACUACAUAUUCGUACAGAAAAUAUUUCACAGUACAUGUAUGUAAAAUUUGUUAAAUAUUCUCAUAAUCGUUUGUUUCAAAUCAUAAAACUGCACGCGACUGGAUGUAGUUAUAAAGAGGCCACAGAGGCUUUGCAACGAACGGUGGCCAAAAGUAUUUUCACAGCAUAUAGCCUGGCAACAACUCACCGCUCGAGCAUAAAAGAAUAUUGGUCAAGCGCCCUAGCGGAUAGACGUAAAGCCUGGUGGACACAAAGACGCUAACAUCCUGCAGAAAAGUUCAACAUGGCUGACAACACCGAACGGUCGGAAGAUGUGUAAGGACAAAAGUGGGAUCGUUGCAUUACAGACACCGGUUUACUGUUAACUGUUGAGUUAUCGAUCCGGACAGAACUUAAGUGUGCACCACUGCAGUAUGAUGACAUUUAAGUUUUAUAUACUUUCAUGCAAUAGUUACUGUCACACAGCUCCGGACAUUGAAAGUGGAAGGACGGAGAACCACACAGAAACAAUAUCGGCGAAUGAUGAUGUAUAUUUGUUUUAAGUUUCGUGAAAUAGGUACUGUGAAAUAGCUCCGGACGUACAACCUUCCUGAAUUUCAAUCUAUUAAGGGGCAAUAAAUUAAUAACGCGUGCACCGCAGUAUGAUUGAACACAUUCAUAUUAAGUUUAAUGAAAUUUAAUAAAUAAUUAUUGAUAAACACCUCCGGACAUCGCCAAAAUAAUAUUCCUUCACUGUCUUAGAGGGGUAAAAAGCCAUCAUAAUGGAGGUGUCAUUUUGUCUACUUACAAGAGUUGGUGCAUUCGGAUUAAAUGCGUAUUCUACAUGCAAUAAUAAAUGCAUGCAAAAAUAAAUAUCUUUCUUGCAACAAGCGUAAAUCUACUGCAAA